rnacentral:sRNA from 2 species
AUUUUGCGUGAGGGGUAGAAACGGCAUCCUUUUGUAACAAACGACAAGUGCUCGUUUAACAAAAUUUUCCGGAACAAAAGAUAUAGUGUAUAACCCGACUCUAU